rnacentral:rRNA from 1 species
GAUGAACGCUGGCGGCGUGCCUAAUACAUGCGAGUCGAGCGAACGGACGAGAAGCUUGCUUCUCUGAUGUUAGCGGCGGACGGGUGAGUAACACGUGGAUAACCUACCUAUAAGACUGGGAUAACUUCGGGAAACCGUAGCUAAUACCGGAUAAUAUUUUGAACCGCAUGGUUCAAAAGUGAAAGACGGUCUUGCUGUCACUUAUAGAUGGAUCCGCGCUGCAUUAGCUAGUUGGUAAGGUAACGGCUUACCAAGGCAACGAUGCAUAGCCGACCUGAGAGGGUGAUCGGCGACACUGGAACUGAGACACGGUCCAGACUCCUACGGGAGGCAGCAGUAGGGAAUCUUCCGCAAUGGGCGAAAGCCUGACGGAGCAACGCCGCGUGAGUGAUGAAGGUCUUCGGAUCGUAAAACUCUGUUAUUAGGGAAGAACAUAUGUGUAAGUAACUGUGCACAUCUUGACGGUACCUAAUCAGAAAGCCACGGCUAACUACGUG